rnacentral:rRNA from 1 species
GACAAACGCUGGCGGCGUGCCUAACACAUGCAAGUCGAACGCCCUUCGCCUCUUCGGAGGGGGAGGGAGUGGCGGACGGGUGAGUAACACAUGGGUGACCUACCCCCAGGUGAGGAAUACCGGCGAGAAAUCGCCGACAAUACCGCAUAGCUUUCCUUCGAGAGAGGGAAAGAAAGCUUCGCAAGAGGCGCCUGAGGAUGGGCUCGUGGUCGAUUAGCUCGUUGGUGGGGUAAUGGCCUACCAAGGCGACGAUCGAUAGCUGGUCUGAGAGGACGAU